rnacentral:pre_miRNA from 1 species
GUUGUUAGUAGAUGAAUCACCUCUUGUGGUAAACGUUUCUUGCUCAAAUGAGUGUUCCAAAACCAGCAAGCGAUGGAGCAGUUCUGGGUUCAAAUACUCCAUCUGUUGUUUGCAUCUGAGAUGCUCAUUUGGGCAAGCAGUGUUUCACAAAGAGGUGUCUGUUGAUUUC